rnacentral:rRNA from 1 species
AUUGAACGCUAGCGGGAUGCUUUACACAUGCAAGUCGAACGGCAGCGCGGACUUCGGUCUGGCGGCGAGUGGCGAACGGGUGAGUAAUGUAUCGGAACGUGCCCAGUAGCGGGGGAUAACUACGCGAAAGCGUAGCUAAUACCGCAUACGCCCUACGGGGGAAAGCAGGGGAUCGUAAGACCUUGCACUAUUGGAGCGGCCGAUAUCGGAUUGGCUAGUUGGUGAGGUAACGGCUCACCAAGGCGACGAUCCGUAGCUGGUUUGAGAGGACGACCAGCCACACUGGGACUGAGACACGGCCCAGACUCCUACGGGAGGCAGCAGUGGGGAAUUUUGGACAAUGGGGGCAACCCUGAUCCAGCCAUCCCGCGUGUGCGAUGAAGGCCUUCGGGUUGUAAAGCACUUUUGGCAGGAAAGAAACGUCGCGGGCUAAUACCCCGUGGAACUGACGGUACCUGCAGAAUAAGCACCGGCUAACUACGUG